rnacentral:lncRNA from 1 species
CGUGGAAUCCGCAGAGUCCGUACCGUGGAUGCCUUGCCCCGAUUUUGCUUGCUUUUAUUCUGUUUUUCCAUUCCACAUUAAAUCAUUGCUGUCGGGGAGAAGACCUCUCUGAUGCAUACACUCUUCGGGGUAACUAGUUAACGGUUAAGGUUUUCCACACAUCUACAUUAUCUAAUACAUAUUGCCACUCCGUCAGAUUAAGUUACAGAAUACAAGAAGACUAUGGUAGUUAGUUACUCCAACAACACACAGACAUACAAUCCUGUGCGAACCAUAAAAUCGGACGCAAAUCCCACUACGCCAAGCGAUUGACCUCAAUCACCUCAUGAGUCAGGCAGGCAGUCAGCAUCAUCCAUCACACGUAUCCAUAAUCUCCAAAAUUGUUGAGAAAAGGGAUCUCCGAUCUUGUCUUUAGAGCCAUAAAUUAGGGCUCUUCCUUUUUAGUACAUUAGUAUUGGGAUCCUCGUUGGUACCUUAAAAAGAGGUGUCAGCACCUAACUGGGCCAAGUGGAUUUGAUCCAUAACUUUGUUUGAGAGAUGCGCAGAAGGAACUGACCACACAGGAGCCAGGAAGUACGAAAAAGAGAGAAAUUGUUGAGUAUGGGAAGCAUAACGGCGGCUGAUGAUUGGAGGUGGCUGAUGCCGUGCCGGUGGAAUACUUACAUGUAUGUACUCUCUACCAGGCCAUGGCUAGGGAGACAUUGAAUGAAACCACAAUAUGACUUGGAUUGGUGGUCAUCGGGAUAUAUUCCCAUCCGAAUAUCCGUCAAGAUAAGAAUACUAAGUUACUGACUCGUAUUAGCUAGUUACGUGCUUACUAGUUAGUCAAAAAGAGCGAAUUCCAUGGCGUACGUACGUACUAUGUAGAGCCGAGGUCCAGAGCCGAAGAGCUGAUCGCCGUAGUUGUCAAAUGCAGAUCCACGCACCUGAUAGUUGUGCAUUCUCGCCCGUACAUACGUAGUAUGUAUUGCUGAUACGGUAAUACGUACACCAUACAUAAAUUAGCAUGGUAUUUUAGGCUGGCAAUAAUCGGACAUAUUAAUUUGAGUCUACAUACUAUACUACUUCGUAGGUAGUAUGUAACUAGUAGCACUACAAGUAAGUUUCUGGUUGAGCUGGUUAACUAACCGGUUUGGUAUUUAGCAGUAUGAACUAUUAACCACGAUUAGUUGGGGCAUGUGCUGCCAGCCUGUCAAACAACUCAGGGGAGGAACAAUUCUCUAUUAAGGUUAAUUGAUUAUUUGUCAGGCCAUUAGGACAGAUCCCGAUUCAUUGCCGAUCACAGAUACCUACAUGCUACGAGUAUUAUCAUUAUCAUUAUUCUUCUUCUUCUUCUUCUUCUUCUUCUUAUUACUAUUUUCUGCUACCAAGCAUAACCUGAGAGAUUAAAAUGCGAAAUAUAUGCCAUGUACUUGCUGCUUGACAAUAAUCGUAUUAUAAUACAGUCCUGAAAGCGGCUUGUAGCCGUGGCGAACACCUGUUCGUGCCUCCUGUACAAUAUAAUAUAAUAUGUACGCACGUAGUAAGAUCAUAAGAUGCUGCUGAAUCCCAUCUUGGCCGAUCGAUCUGAAAAAGAAAAUUGAAAAACAAUCAACCAAUCAGAACCGCUACACUUGUCACCCAAGGAAGGAGCCACCUUCCCAAAAGAGAGGAAUAUAUAUGGGCAUUGGAAGGAAGGAAGGAGCCAGCCUGGCAGGCGCCGCCCACUUCGAUCGCUCCUUCCUUAUGCACUUUCUGUCGUCUCUCGAGCCCCUUCCUUUUGAUGACGCUCUUACAUAAGCCACCAACAUAAGUUGUUAACUUAACUAACCUAGUUAAAUUAGUCAAUUAACGUAACUAACUUAACUAAUUCUGACUUCUCGUACGCAGACUGUCGUCUGUUGAGAUAUCCAUGCAUCACCAUGUUCAUCGCUUGUCGACAUGCAGCUGGCGGACUGUCCGAUGCUACUUGACAGGUCAAAGUGCAAUGCUGAGUUGAGUUUCAACAGAGUUCCAGUCAGUCCUAGCUAGGCGAGGUUCGUAGCGUAUACAUGCUACGUACGUAUUGUUCUGUCAGAGUGCUGACGAUCCAAUCUCCACCCAUUUUUAUUGACCUACAUAGCACACCAUGAAUGUCGAAUAGGGAUGCAUAAAAUCCGGAUGGGGUCGACGGGGUCAGAGCGAUCGCUUAUUUUACUUAUCAUACCAAGCCAGCCUCAACGCAAAUGGGUACAGCCACAGUGCCACAUUCCAAGGAACAUCGAGUUUUGACGUGACAAGUUGACGACCAACUUUGCCGCCUCGGGGUCUCAUACAACUGUUUCGGUUUCAUGAUCGCGAAAAUUCCAGGGAUCGAGGACGUUUUACCUUUCUGGGGUUUGAGUUUCGACGAUUGUUAGAAUUCCUUCCGUAGCGAUGUUUCAUCGUCCCCCAACAAUACGAUACGUGGGAUUCAUAGGUUGUCGCGCCGGAACGUGAAAAAGGGCCAGCCACAUGCAGCCCAAGAAUUGGGUAAUGUGCCAAUCCAUGCCGGCUAACUACUCGUAGUAGAAAGUGUGGUGUGUGUGUUGUGCUGGCCCCGGCCACUAAUGCGGUCUUGAUGGAUUGUCAGAAUGUCAGCCGACUGAGUUAAUCGUCCAUCUAUCCACUCGUCGAGACCUUGACUACGUCACAAAAAUGCCAGUCAGGGAAAGAGGCUUUUCUUUGACCCUCAUCGAAAAGCCAGUCACGAUGGAAUACAACAGGAGCACAUCCAUUUACGGAGGGAGUCCCGAGGAUAUGGCGCCAGUCGUGGGGCCAGGGGCAGAACAGCGCUAAGAUAGCGCCCCUCUUUUCUCCUCUUCAGGAGCCGGAGUCUGAGUACAGUGAGAAUUAGGAAUCGUGACGAUGCGAAACUUUAUCCAGGAACUUGUGCCAAAAGUCUAAACAUGGUUCAGACGGAGGGUGGUUCUGCGGAUGACAUACGUAUUGCCCCUACUAACUAGUAGGCGUGAAAAUGGAACGAAGCACACACUACGGUUCGGCGAAUCCUCGGUUUAGGUUGGGGGUCUUUUUUGAGUGUAUCGCUGUAUGCGGGGCUGACAAUACAAUCGGAAUGACAGGCUAGCUGUCAUCGAUACUAGUUCGUUGAAAUUAGUGGCGUGCAAAUGUAAAUUCAUCUCGAUUGAGUCCUCGUUCUUUCUUGACUAGCUCAGUUUGAAUCGCUUUCGAUGCAGAUCACAAAUUAUUGAUUGACCCUGGUUGACAGCGUGACUGACACCCACAAUAUGGAGCCAGCCUCGUAGAAUUUCCAUGGAACUCAAUUCUCUGAUUGGGCAACACAUCGAGACGAUACGCACGUCCGUCCAAUACCGACGAAAUAUUUCCGCAUCCGGCAUGGAAUAAGAAUCGAUGAUCCACGAUACCAGGCGUUCCACGUUUUUAGAUCGAGAUCGAACAUUGUAUGGCGAGUUGUGGUACAGACAGCCCCAACCCUGGAAGCCCACGGAGUAGUGUUUAACCCCUGAGAACUCAUUCGGUACAAAGUACGCGGUGCGUCGAGUUUCGACUAUUGAAAUAUUCAAGACCCUUCAGAUGAUUGUCUAGGUUUGAGGCAAAUAUGCCAAGGAUCAAGGAGGUUGACCUACGUCAUGCUUAUUUUUAUUUUUUUUUUUUCACGUGCCGUGGCACCUGUGUCCUACGUAGUACGACGUUUGGGGCUUGAUUCUUCUUUGAGCCGUGGUCAAACAGUGACUAUGUAUAUGAUCCUUUGAGAUUGAAGCAUAAAUAUACAAUAGAUCUUGAGAGAAUACUGUAACCGGUGAACCUGUAGCUUCUAGCAGCACCAUACAGAGAGGCCGAUACCUUCUCCCUUCCAUACCACUAAUAUGAUGCAUGUGCAAACUCCGUCCCUGGAUGGCAUUCUACAGAUCGGAUGGCCCGAAAAAAAAAAAAAAAAAAACAAAAACAAAACAAAAAACAUGUAGCCCUUCCUACAUACGCAGUGCCACAUCAAUGCAACUAACUGCACCGCCACAAUCCCGUAUCUCAACGACUAAGUGUACAACAUGCAAGCAAGAUCGUGAUUAGAUCGAAACGAGGCUACAUUAGGGCAUGCCAACCUAUUGAAUCAGAGUAGCAUCCCUGUAUGUAUGUACAUACUUUAUGUCCUUGCUUCUCCACGGAGUGGGCGGUUGGAUAUCCAUUCGAGAACUCGGUGCCGACUUUUCUCCUGAGUUAUGUAGAUAGAUAACUCGAGUCACCUAGAGGAUGCUACAAGAUGAAUGGAUGGAUGGACGGAUGUAUAGUAGAGUAUUAUAGGUCGGGGUCGUCGAUCAGUUGCGUUCCUGUA